CAGACCACAGUUACAGUUUAUCCUAUGGAUAACAAAAUCUGAAUUACAGGUUCAAUCUUAAAUAAGAAAAAUGUAACAAGACUCGUUGGCCUUGAUAGGGCCACAAUGCAUGAAUAGCAACUACACUGGCUCAGAAAAAGUCAUAUUGGCUGGUAAAUCUUCCCCCCCAAUUCUACAAAAGUGUUUUGGAAACAGUAUAUUAAAAGUAUGUGCAGGAAGGGGUUUGUAAAGCAGGAAGAAAACAUAUUGUAUAAUGUCCCAGACUCAUGAUCCCAUACAAUGUAUAUAGAAUUUAAAUGUUGACAGCAUUUCACAGCUCAGUGCAUGUAAACUAAACUCUGAAUUGCUCAUUUCCCUGGAACAUCUAUCAUCAGAAGUCAGUGUUGUCUCAACAUUUGUGAACUUAUCUUAAAAUUGAUGUGGAACACUUUG